rnacentral:lncRNA from 1 species
GGUGAAUUUCAAAUGAAGUUCAGUUCAGUAUUCUCUCUAGGCUCCUGGGCACAGUCUCACUCAAUCAGACUGUGAUGUGGUUGAUUGCGCUUCUUGCUUUGUAGGCAGCGUGGGUAGCUGAGAAAAAUGGGUUUUUGUUGGGAAGGCCUUUCUUUUCUGACAGGUAAGCAACUGGAACGAUCCCAUAAAUCAUCCUACGCCGUUUAAAUCGACUGCUUCAACACAUUUUCCCGGUACCCAUUUAAUCCCCACGCUGACACAUCGGCAAACAAGAGCCCGCAAUUGUUCUCCGUUAAUAUCGAAACUCAUUAUGAAUAUUUGAAACUUAUAGUCCGCCUCUCACAAUUUGCUUUUUCCCAUCGGAAAUCCGAUCCGGGAUCCAUCGAGCACAGAAAUCGAUUGACCCAUUUCCCAAAACUUACCAGCGACCAUUGCAUUGGUGGAUAGCGAGAAUCGUGUUCCUCUCCGCCGCCGCCGCCGCCAUCAGUUGACUGAUUGAAAUGGGAAAUCUUUCGGUGGAUUUCCAUCAUUUCAGCCUGGCGACAUGGUUGAGAGCUCGCGACUGUCAGCGGAUGCCCUCCCCGAAAAUCGCACUCAUUUCAACGGAAUAAGGUGAUGGAGAGCUUAAUGGGCACUGAUGCUUGGUCGAUAUGCUGCAACCGACACACAGUGGUUCCUGCUGCUUGGAAAGGUGAUCAAAAAUACAAAAUUUGUUGAAUAUCAUAUAUAUUUAUGCUUUCAAA